rnacentral:rRNA from 1 species
CGGGACGGGUGAGUAACGCGUGGGUAACCUGCCUUACACAGGGGGAUAACACUUAGAAAUAGGUGCUAAUACCGCAUGAGCGCACAGGACCGCAUGGUCGAGUGUGAAAAACUGAGGUGGUGUAAGAUGGACCCGCGUCUGAUUAGCUAGUUGGUGAGGUAACGGCCCACCAAGGCGACGAUCAGUAGCCGGCCUGAGAGGGUGGACGGCCACAUUGGGACUGAGACACGGCCCAAACUCCUACGGAAGGCAGCAG